CCUGACUUUGCGCUGAGCAUCAUUACACAACAGAUGAAACAUGUUCCGGUGAAAUUAUCCCAACAGGCUUUGGACUGCUUUUAAUGAAAGAGCUAACGCCAUGCUGCUUUAUGCAUCUUGCGGACCCCUUUGGCAUAGCUCGCGGACCCC